AAUCAGUCUUUAGCAAAAAAGUUCAGUGCCCAGGCCCUGAGUUCAAGUCCCAUGACUAGCACAAAAAAGAAAAGAAAAGAAAUAAUAAUGUACAAGUUACUAUUUAAAUAUCAAGCAAGUAUGGAUAGCCAAAGUGAAAGUUUGAAAUAACAAACUGUCUUCAAUUCCCAUCAAUAAUGAUUCAGAACCUCAAACUAGUGACUUAAUUUUUAAGAUCUCUGAAAAAUAAGUUUUAAAUUCUCUAUGGCAAAAGAAAGCUCACCAAGAUAGACCUACAGUUUAAUGCUAUACUUUAAGUAGAUGUAUUUUAGAUGUAGAUAUUAAAACAACUGCACUAACAAACCAGUGAUUUCUUAACAGUGUGGCAUUUACCAAGUAUCUAUUGGCUUGAAAUAUCUGAGUUUAAAACUGCUCUUCAAUACCUAUAGAUAAAACAAGGACUAAGAAAUGUAAAAAACAGGUUAUUAAUGAUGGUCAUGUAAUAUGUCAAAUGUGAGUUCAAAAUAAAGACAGCUCCAAACUUAAUUCCCAAAUCAAGUCCACACUGUUUUGCCUCCCUUUUAGAGCUCCCAUCUUCUCACACUUAUAUCUUUAUAAUUAUAAAAGCACAUUAUAGAAAGUAGUGCUGCUUUUUAAUAUAAUGACAUACCAAUGUCUGUCCCUAUGGCCUUUUUAUUCAUGAAGUUUCCAACAACAUAAAAGGCCUUUUUCUCUUUCCCUGAUGUUAACUCCAAGUCAAGAUAACACACUAAAAGAUCAAUUCUUCCUUUUUCAAUGCAGCCUCCCCAACAAUUUUAGGCUGUUUCUUGGAUUCAGUACCAUAUAUAUGAUUAACCACUUUCAUAUAAGGUUUUAAUUUUAUCUCUUCAAAUUUAUGCUUAACUAACUGAAAAUAAUAUUCAUAUUUUAUACACCUUUUGUAUUCCCCACACAGCCUAGUUCAUUGUUGGGCAAACAGGAAGUGAAAUAUUAAUCAUUCUGGUUUCUUUUGUAAAUGUUUAAAAUAGUUAAGGGAAUUUAACUUUUAAUGUUAUAAUCAGUCAGUAGACUAUUAGCAAUGAAACUGUCAUCUUUCUAAAUGAUUAAAACAAAGCAAAAUAAAACAGAAUUACGUUCUAAUAUGCUAUCUUGAAUGGAAGAAAAGAAAAAUGUGUACAGAAAUUAAACACUUAGUAUUUCAUAAGUGGAUAUUGCAUUAAAGAAGAGGACUGAAAAAUAUUACUUUGGAUUACCAACUACCUGCCAGAAUUAAAUGAAUGAAUACCAUGAACCCUAUCAAUGUGCAAAUUACUUCAUCAAGUAUUCUCAAAUUUAUGUAAAUUAACUUCACUGUAUCAAUUGUUAAUAUUAUUUUAUCAACUGCACACUAAGACUUAGCUUCUGUCUAGAACAGAGUCAUUGGUCUCAAGGAAAUACAGCCAGAAAAUUAUGGAAGAUCUCUAUAAAUUCAUCUAUCUACCUUGCUAAAAACAAGAGAAUGAUCACUUUACUAGUAAAAGUACACUAUUUUGAUAACAUGUCAUGCCCUACUUUAAAGGUCAUGACAAAGGACAAAUAUAAGUUAUAUAUAUAAACUAUGUAACAGAGUGAAGGAUUAUUCUAUUCUACUUGAGAUAAUCGCAUCAUCUCUAAAGCUGCAAUCAAAUGGAAACACUAUUAAUAAGAAUGGCUUCCUUAGACUACACUUCACAUAAAAACCCCUUACAUAGGAUCUUAAAUCCCAAAACCAGAAGUAUUCUGGCAUCAAGUUUAUGUUAACUUAUAUAAACCUAGUAUUAUCUCCCAGUAAUAAAUACAAGACAGCCUAAAAGGGUAUCUCUCUUUGAAUAAAUUUUUCCCCAGAAAAUGUCUGUAACAUAUGUAUGAUAUGUUGUUCUCACAUAUUAAUUAUUUAUUAAUAUAUAAGUUUUAAUGUAUGUAUGUGUGUAUCAGUCAAAAUUGCUCUAAGCAGUUAGAAAGUGGCUUUAUCCCUCAUGCUCUCAUUAUCAUUAAUUAAUUUUUUUUUACCACUUCGUUUUUAGAAUGUGAAGUGAGGAAUUUCUACUGUAUGGUAUUAAGACUUUAUAGCACUGUAAGUUCAGAGCCCAUUUUCUUUUUUUUCUUUCUGAUUGAUAUACCAUAUGAAUGUUUGGUAACUAUGUUAUUUAUUAAGUAAAAGUGCUUUGAACAAUAACGAGAUAUAAUACUCCACCAUUCUUAUAAAGCUCAAUAUUACAAGGCAUCUAUCCAAGUAAAUUUUUUUUAGAUUAUGAUAAAGACUUUUCUUUCAUAGAAAUUUCUAAGGCUAAUAAGUACUCUGUUAUUCAACAGUUCCCUCCCUACCCACCCAAAAACCAGAAAGCAUAAAUUCACAGAUUCUUGACGGU